rnacentral:rRNA from 1 species
ACGAACGCUGGCGGCGUGCCUAACACAUGCAAGUCGAGCGAGUGGAGUUCUUCGGAACAAAGCUAGCGGCGGACGGGUGAGUAACACGUGGGCAACCUGCCUCAUAGAGGGGAAUAGCCUCCCGAAAGGGAGAUUAAUACCGCAUAAGAUUGUAGCUUCGCAUGAAGUAGCAAUUAAAGGAGCAAUCCGCUAUGAGAUGGGCCCGCGGCGCAUUAGCUAGUUGGUGAGGUAACGGCUCACCAAGGCGACGAUGCGUAGCCGACCUGAGAGGGUGAUCGGCCACAUUGGGACUGAGACACGGCCCAG